rnacentral:rRNA from 1 species
CGGAGGGUGCGAGCGUUGUCCGGAAUCACUGGGCGUAAAGGGCGCGUAGGUGGCCGAGCAAGGUCGCGGUGAAAGCCCGGGGCUCAACCCCGGGUCGGCCGUGGCAACUACUCGGCUCGAGCACUGUAGGGGCGGGUGGAAUUCCGGGUGUAGCGGUGGAAUGCGUAGAGAUCCGGAAGAACACCGGUGGCGAAGGCGGCCCGCUGGGCAGGAAGGCUCGCAAGAGCCGGCUGACACUGAGGCGCGACAGCGUGGGGAGCAAACAGGAUUAGAUACCCUGGUAGUCCACGCCGUAAACGAUGGGCACUAGGUGCUUGGGGGAGCGACCCCCCGAGUGCCGGCGCUAACGCAUUAAGUGCCCCGCCUGGGGAGUACGGCCGCAAGGCUG